rnacentral:rRNA from 1 species
UAACGCGUGAGUAACCUGCCUCUAAGAGGGGAAUAACAUUCUGAAAAGAAUGCUAAUACCGCAUAACAUAUAUUUAUCGCAUGGUAGAUAUAUCAAAGAUUUAUCGCUUAGAGAUGGACUCGCGUCCGAUUAGUUAGUUGGUGAGGUAACGGCUCACCAAGACUGCGAUCGGUAGCCGGACUGAGAGGUUGAACGGCCACAUUGGGACUGAGGCACGGCCCAG